AACGAACGCUGGCGGCAGGCCUAACACAUGCAAGUCGAACGCCCUAGCAAUAGGGAGUGGCAGACGGGUGAGUAACACGUGGGAACCUUCCCUAUAGUAUGGAAUAGCCCAGGGAAACUUGGAGUAAUACCGUAUACGCCCGAGAGGGGAAGAUUUAUCGCUAUAGGAUGGGCCCGCGUAGGAUUAGCUAGUUGGUGAGGUAAUGGCUCACCAAGGCGACGAUCCUUAGCUGGUCUGAGAGGACGACCAGCCACAAUGGGACUGAGACACGGCCCAUACUCCUACGGGAGGCAGCAGUGGGGAAUUUACGCAAUGGGCGAAAGCCUGACGUAGCGACACCGCGUGAGGGAAGAAGGCCUUCGGUUGUAAACCUCUGUCAUGGGGAAGAAGGAAGUGACGGUACCCAAGAGGAAGCCCUGCUAACUACGUG
rnacentral:rRNA from 1 species